GGGCGCUUAGCUCAGCUGGGAGAGCAUCUGCCUUACAAGCAGGGGGUCACAGGUUCGAACCCUGUAGUGCCCACCA
rnacentral:tRNA from 1 species